AAAUGAUAUGUUUGGCAACAAAAAUACUUUUAGUAAUUAUUUUGAAUAAUCUGUAUGAAAUAUUAAUUUAUUUUAAAAUCGUUUUUUACAGUGAUGAAAAUCAAAUUGGAGAUGAUCAUGAAGUUGAGAAAAACAUAGAAGAAGUUUUACACUUUGGUCAUGAGUCCAUUUUGAAGGAAGGAAAUGUCAUAACACCUGAAUCCAGUUGUGAAAAUAGUGAAACACCAAUCCAAAGCACUGAUGAAACUAAGUCAACGGAAUCUGAACAAGUGAAUCCUGAAAAAGAGCACUGUAAAGACAGCGUAGUGGAGGCUCACCUUUCACCAGUAGCUGUUGAGAAUUUUACAUCUGAACUUCAAUCAGAGGAAUCAGAAACUGAAGAAAUUACAGAGACUUGCGAGAGCUCAAAUGAAAAUGCCAUCAUAAACGAAGCAUCCGAUGAACCUUUGGAACAAGCUAAGUCACCAGAGCCUGUCUUUGGUGGGGCUAUUGAUGCUACUAACUCUUACUUUCCCCAACCAUUCUUGGGAGACAUCCAUUUUGGAGCGCAAGGCAUGAGUGCCGCACCUACGCCACCAGACGAUACUGAAUUGAGUUUUAUCGGCUCUCCUGAUAUUGUUACUCCACCUGUGUCCCCCUUACGCAACUAUACUACACAAAUGUCACCACCUCUGUCACCCAUAACUGGAGACAGUCCUCUCGUUGCUGCCUCUACUCAGUCGCAGACAAAAAAAAAUUCCACACAAAAACCUUUCAAUGUGAAACGGAUACAUAUGUUUUCUCCACGUCCAGAUGAUAUGAGUGACUGUGAAGAUAUACUCACCAUGGAUUUAGAUAUCAGUAAUGAAGAUUCAGUUGAGGCAAGUUCUGUGCAAGUGGAUACUGGCACAGAAAUUCGGGAAGCAGAUGAACUCAUGGAUGAUAUAAAUUCAGAUGAAGAUGAUAUCUUGAGCCUUGUCCAUGAGGAAUUCAUCUGUCGUAAAUUACUAUCACCCCUACCGUCAAAAGAGCCACCAUACGAAACUAGUCCUGUUAAGCCGACCAAGAAAACGUCUGAAGCUGAUGAAGCUCUGGAAGUAAAUUUGGUUAACAAAAACAAAAAAUGUGAAGAAACUAAUGCUCAUUUAGAUAAUAGAAGCAAUAAACCUAUAGAGAAAAAACCAAAAACUUCCCGAACAACUGUUAAACAGCGGCUAGCUUCUAGGUUGAGAAAUCUGCAUCGUAUCUCUAAUAGUAACCUGUUACUGAAACGCUCAUCACAAAGCUUUCAAUCAACAGCUUCAAAUAAGCCAAAUAAUCUAGUCCAAGAACACACAUCUGAAGAACCAGUGCACAAAAGGAGGAAAACUAGAUCAUCGCCUCGUAAAAACAAAACUGUUGAGCUUGCCAAUGAUGCCAGAUGUAAAGAUGUUGCAGACAAUAAUGACGUUCAAAAAUGUGUAUCAUUCGAAAAAGUAUCAAUAGAACAUAAAAUUAAGAAAAAUGGCAGGAAUGAAGCUGAUCUGAGUAGUAAUGCUAACAGUAAGUUAAAUGAUAGUAUAAUGAAUAACUCCUCGAAGUUGAAAACUCAAAAGGAGGUAAUAGCAGCCAGUACAACAAAUGUAAAACCAGCAGUCCAUACAAUUUCUAUUAUGGAGUGCUCUAAUACAGAAUAUUCCAGUGAAGUCUCUAAUUCUGAAAUAAUGAAUCAAAAUAAUGAAAGAAGGAAGGAAAUCAAACCCUCUCCUCGCAACAUCCAAAUUGUAGAACCUGCUUCCAUGGAUAAUCAUCAACAGAAAAGAGGAAGUGAUGUUCAGCAAAGUAUCUCUCAAGAGGAAAUAUCGAAACACAGCUCAGUCUGUGCAAGUAGCAGUAAUAAAGUUGAUCAAAUAAGUAAUGCUAUUAUAAAGUCAAAAAGUAGCAUAGAAAUUGAUCAUCCUGAGUCAAAAUCUUCAUGUAAAACUAAGAACAUCAGCUCAAUGAAUGACAAGGAUGCAUGUAGUUUGAUUUCAGACACCAAAUUCAUGAACUGGAACAUGCAAGUCCAAAAACUGAUUGUGAAACUUCAAAUCCAAAUGAAGGGAAAGUCAGAAUAAGUAGAUCUUCCCCUCGAAUGGGCAAAAGUAUUGGGUCUACGCUCAUUGAAAAUUGUCAAGGUAGAGAACAAAAUCACGAGUUUGAACAACUUACCUCAAUAGGAGAAGUUUCAAAAGGAAGCUCUGUUGGUUUGAAUUAUUCGAAUCAAGUGGAUCAGAGUCAUCCAUCCCAUGUUAAGACUGAUAUUAGUAUAAGCAAUAAUUACUGUAAUAAGUUGGACUCUCUCAAUGAAAUCACCCAAGCAACCUCAACGAAUUUUAAAAUUCCACCAGUAUUCAUCUCUGAAAAAAAUCGGUUGAACUCAGAAUCUUCUAACAACAUGACUGAUUUUGUAGCUACAGACAAAAUUCCUGAAAGACCCAAAGUUUCGGCAUCUUCCGUGCUUGAAAAUCUAAAAGAGCAGAUAAUAUCAGAUUCAGAGGUUUCAACGGAUUCGUAUAAAUCCGAACGUAAUUGUUUGUGGACAAUGUUUAAAUUCUACAAGGAGGAUCAUUGCCAAAAAGCUGUGGAAGUUGAAGAUAUCAAGAAAGUAGAGAAACCUCUACCUUAUCCGAAUAGAC
rnacentral:lncRNA from 1 species